GCGGAGGAAAAGAAACCAACAGGGAUUGCCCUAGUAACGGCGAGUGAAGCGGCAACAGCUCAAAUUUGAAAUCUGGCGCAAGCCCGAGUUGUAAUUUGUAGAGGAUGCUUCUGGGCAGCGGCCGGUCUAAGUUCCUUGGAACAGGACGUCAUAGAGGGUGAGAAUCCCGUAUGCGACCGGCUUGCACCCGUCACGUAGCUCCUUCGACGAGUCGAGUUGUUUGGGAAUGCAGCUCUAAAUGGGAGGUAAAUUUCUUCUAAGGCUAAAUACCGGCCAGAGACCGAUAGCGCACAAGUAGAGUGAUCGAAAGAUGAAAAGCACUUUGGAAAGAGAGUUAAAAAGCACGUGAAAUUGUUGAAAGGGAAGCUCACGCAACCAGACUUGUCGGCGGUGUUCCGCCGGUCUUCUGACCGGUCUACUCGCCGCCGGCAGGCCAGCAUCACUUGGGAGCGCCGGAUAAAGGCGUGCGGAAUGUAGCCCCUCGGGGCAUUAUAGCCGCGCGCACAAUACGGCGCCUCCCGAGUGAGGUCCGCGCUUUGGCUAGGAUGCUGGCGUAAUGGUUGCUUGAGGCCCGUCUUGAAACACGGACCAAGGAGUCUAACAUCUAUGCGAGUGUUCGGGUGUCAAACCCCUACGCGGAAUGAAAGUGAACGGAGGUGGGAACCGCAAGGUGCACCAUCGACCGAUCCUGAUGUCUUCGGAUGGAUUUGAGUAAGAGCAUAGCUGUUGGGACCCGAAAGAUGGUGAACUAUGCCUGAAUAGGGUGAAGCCAGAGGAAACUCUGGUGGAGGCUCGCAGCGGUUCUGA
rnacentral:rRNA from 1 species